CCCGGGACUGAAGGGCUGAGAAGCCUGGGUCCACAGUGGAACUCGGAUGACUUUACAUUAACUCUGAGGAGGAGAGCAGCUUGCGGUGGAGCUGAAGCUGCCGGCAGGCCCAGAGGUUCCAUCUAGAAGCUAUGGGGUGUCUUCUCUCCUUUGGAAGGACUUUAGAGAUGGCAGUUGAGACUUACCAGGCUUUCGGGGCCUUAGGGCUACUUUGCUCCUUGGUUUGAGGCUGAAACGGAUUCUGGACACCUCCGUUCCCACUCGUCUGUGUCUCACCAUUUGGCUGCAUCAUUUAUCUGACGAAAUGAAGGUUGGGGCAAGAUGGUUAUUUCCUGGCUGAAGCUCUAGCUUUUCUGAGCCCUUUCCUGUUGGGGGCCACACUUCCUGCCCUACAGGAGAUGAUGGGAAACCAAGGA